UACUCGAGUGGCGAACGGGUGAGUAACACGUGGGUGAUCUGCCCUGCACUUCGGGAUAAGCUUGGGAAACUGGGUCUAAUACGGGAUAGGAGCCAUCUUUAGUGUGGUGGUUGGAAAGUUUUUUCGGUGUAGGAUGAGCUCGCGGCCUAUCAGCUUGUUGGUGGGGUAAUGGCCUACCAAGGCGGCGACGGGUAGCCGGCCUGAGAGGGUGUACGGCCACAUUGGGACUGAGAUACGGCCCAG
rnacentral:rRNA from 1 species